GGUGCACUGAAGCUCAGGCCUCUCCUGGUGCCCUGGUCUCCUGCACUGAGCUGUGUGAGCUCUUCUGCCCAGGCAGGCCCCCUGGCAUUGACCAGCAUAGAUGGUGAGCCUGGAGGAAGACUUGUGUUGGACACGCAGGCUGAGGGCCAGUGUCUGUCAGCCAGGUGCUCAGCCCCCAGUGGGCUAAAACUCUGACCAUUCCUGGCACCCUGCUCUCCUGCACUGUGCUGUGAUGGUGAGGCUUCUGUUGGGCUCGCUUUUCCUGGGCCAGUGUCCAUCAGCCAGGUGCUUAGCCCUCAGUGCACUGAAGCUCCAGCCCUUCCUGGUGCCCUGGUCUCCUGCACUGCACUGUGGUGAUGAGCUCUUUCACCUAGGAGGGCCACUUGGCAUUGACUGGCAUAGAUGGUGACCCUAGAGAAAGACUUGGGUUGGGCUCGAAGGCCCCGGGGCCAGUGUCUAUCAGCCAGGUGCUCAGCUCCCAGUGCACCGAAACUCCGACCCUUCCUGGUUCCCUGGUCUCUUGCACUG